AGUGAACGCUGGCGGUAGGCCUAACACAUGCAAGUCGAACGGCAGCACAGUAAGAGCUUGCUCUUACGGGUGGCGAGUGGCGGACGGGUGAGGAAUACAUCGGAAUCUACUUUUUCGUGGGGGAUAGCGUAGGGAAACUUACGCUAAUACCGCAUACGACCUACGGGUGAAAGCAGGGGAUCUUCGGACCUUGCGCGAUUGAAUGAGCCGAUGUCGGAUUAGCUAGUUGGCGGGGUAAAGGCCCACCAAGGCGACGAUCCGUAGCUGGUCUGAGAGGAUGAUCAGCCACACUGGAACGGAGACACGGUCCAGACUCCUACGGGAGGCAGCAGUGGGGAAUAUUGGACAAUGGGCGCAAGCCUGAUCCAGCCAGACCGCGUGGGUGAAGAAGACCUUCGGGUUGUAAAGCCCUUUUGUUGGGAAAGAAAAGCAGCAGGUUAAUACCCCGCUGUUCUGACGGUACCCAAAGAAUAAGCACCGGCUAACUUCGUG
rnacentral:rRNA from 1 species